rnacentral:lncRNA from 1 species
UGCAGGGGUCAUGGAUGUCUCUCUGUUCCCCUUCACAGAACAGAUGCAACUUAUGGCUCAUCAGGUGGCUUUUGGUGCAGACAACACUGUCUCCCCAUGUCUGACCUUGAAGCAGGAAGGUCCAGUGAUAAGGAACACUGGGUCUGGAGCUAGACUGCAUCACUUCAAAUCACAGCUCUGUUACUCUGCUUAGUAGCUGCAUGGCCUUAAUGGAAGCUCCAUACGGACAGAGAUUUAUUUGCCUUUCUAGAUAGAACAAUGCCUGAAGCACAGCCAGCACUCAACAAUAAGUAUGUGGAGUGAAUGAGAGAAGGAGGAGGGAGGGUCUGUCAGGAUCCAGCAGAGACCCAUCCCUAGUCCCCAUUCCUGAACCAAGAUGUCUCUGAAGCCUGACACCAACAUCCCAUCAGAGAAGCCAGCUAUUCAGGAGGAGACUAGAGAGCUGUAGCCUUUGAUCCUAACUUACUCCUUGCAAAGCCACCUCAAUCUGAUACUGACCCAUAGAUAUUUCUAAUGGU